CCGGAGUCACAAAAGGGCGGAUGCCGUUUCUAUAGCGACGGGAGGGGCCGUGGCCGUGUCGCGCGCUCUGCCUCGCGCUCCCAGCCUCCCGCAGCGGUUGGCGGUCAGCGCCGGCCUCGGGCAGCUCCACUCGCCAUCUACCCGCACCAGAAUAAAAGGACCGCGGAGGCUCUUAAUUCGCGAGCAUUCCGGCAAGACUACGAGCCAGCUAGGGUCCGCUACGCUCUUCUAGGACUCACAUUGAUGCUAAAAAGCCAAGGACAUGCGAUUUGACUUCAUCCAUGGGUUUGAAAGAAAAGUUAAAGUAUGCUAAGUGGACUUCUCAUCCAAUUGAAUUUAAUAGGGUUGAGUAAGGAAAUGCAAACAAGUCAGUAACUGGUUUCUGCACAUGAAGUCUUGGGUUUCAGUGGACAGUUACGAUACUAACUGGAGAAAGAAAAUGAAUUGUAUGAAUCAUAAUCCCUUCAUCUAAGAAAACGCUGAAGAGGGAGCUAUGGAUCUUACCAUGUCUACUGCCCCAAGCAGGUGUUAAGAGGACAACUUAAAUAUUUAAAUAAAUGAAUCAUAAUUUAUGUUUUCACAGUAUUUAAAGUUACAAAUGAUAAGUGUGAUAUUUAUAAUAACCAAGUAUUCACAUAUUUUAAUAUGGAUCUUGGUAACAUUUCAGCCAAGGGAAAUUUUUAAAUGUGAUUUCACUUGACUUUAAGACGAUAGUGUAGCCCUCUCUCUAGUAAUCUGGAGUUCUUUUCAGAAUGCCCUAUUCAUUUGGCUAACACGAGGUAAAACCUUGAUGCCAGUGGAGGUUCCCUAUCCUUUUUGCUUAGCUGGCAAGGAUCAAAGAACUCUCAGCCUCUCAGGAGGCUGGGAGCGGUGGCUCACGCCUGUAAUCUCAGCACUUUGGGAGGGAGAGGCGGGUGGAUCACCUGAGGUCCGGAGUUCGAGACCAACCUGACCAACAUUGCGAAACCCUGUCUCUACUAAAAAUACAAAAUUAGCCGGACCUGGUGGCGUGCACCUAUAAUCCCAGCUACUCGGGAGGCUGAGGCAGGAGAAUCUCUUGAACCCGGGAGGCGGAGUUGUGGUAAGCCAAGAUCGGACUCUCAGGAAAAUGCUCCGUGUUGUAUUUAUCCUAACUGCCGGCAGGGGGAACAGAGGUCUUUUGGUCCUCAGUCAUCCCAACCAGUAGGCUGGAGGACUUCUGGCUUUUCUGCAUGUCAGCGUUGCCUCAGCUGGUUUCCGGGACUUGAGAAGCUAGCUGAGCUCCAGGAUCGCAGGUUAGGCUAUGCCAGGAAGAGAACCUGGGAGAGAGUCCUAGGGAGGGAAGCUGUUAAUUUAGGAUAUUACAUUACAAUCUCCCUGACAACCACAAGAUGCUACAAAGUACAUCCAGAAUCAUCCUGAAGACACAUUUUCAGUUUCAGCAUCAGAAGCACAGAGGCUUCACCCAGCCGUUCUCCAGUGCCCAGGUCUUGGACUGCACAAGAAGCAUCCCCUAUGCUCUGGAUUUUAACACCAGGGUUACUUCACUCCCCAUUGUGGACACUAAGGGGAAGAAGAAUAUGGUAAGCUUCCCACACAUUAGCAGCCAAAUCCUGCUGAAGUCAUCCCUGCUGUAUCAGGCUGUUGGAGAAACAGCAGUGAGAGAAGCGUUUCCAGAAGCCAUUAUCAUAGAGCCAUAGGACAUCUUUGGAAGAGAGGAAACAUUGCUUAAUCAUUUUUCAAGUCUCAGAUGUAUCCAAAGGAAUUAUUAAUGCAGUUAAGGACCCUGUGCCAGAGGGAAGACCUUUACUUCUGUUGGGCCAAAUCGUACCUCCUCUUUGCGCUGGUGAAGUACAUCUAUGCUGUGACUCACAGAUUAUUCCUCCUGUACCCCAUACCACGUUUUGCCUAUUGGAAGGAUUUAAGGAUGCUCAGGAGGAAGACAUUCCCAGAGUCACACUCUAGAAGAUCAAGGAGUGAAUGGGAGAUGCAGUGGAAUGGAGGGCAUAUUUGAAGGAACCUUUCCUGUGAAGAAAAAUCCAAGACAGAAUGA